rnacentral:rRNA from 1 species
GGACGAACGCUGGGCGGCGUGCCUAACGCAUGCAAGUCGAGCGGGGAUGGUAGCUGAAGGUGAUGAGCUGGAAGCUGCCAUCUUAGCGGCGGACGGGUGAGUAACACGUGAGCAACCUACCCUCAGCACGGGGAUAACAGCUCGAAAGGGCUGCUAAUACCCGAUGGGACCACGUCAUUGCAUGGUGAUGUGGUGAAAGGGUGGACGUAAGGUCCAUACCGGCUGGGGAUGGGCUCGCGGCCCAUCAGCUAGUUGGUGGGGUAACGGCCUACCAAGGCGACGACGGGUGGGCCGGCCUGAGAGGGUGACCGGCCACAGUGGGACCGAGACACGGCCCACACUCCUACGGGAGGCAGCAGCGGGGAAUCUUGCGCAAUGGGCGAAAGCCUGACGCAGCGACGCCGCGUGAGGGAAGGAGCCCUUCGGGGUGUAAACCUCUUUGGACGGGGAGAAGUAGGAGAUAGUACCCGUUUAAAAAGCCACGGCUAACUACGUGCCAGCAGCCGCGGUAAUACGUAGGUGGCGAGCGUUGUCCGGAAUUACUGGGCGUAAAGGGUGCGUAGGCGGCCUGGUAAGUUUGAGCGUGAAAUUUUUGGGGCUCAACCCAAAAGGAGCGUUCAAGACUGCCAGGCUUGAGUGCGGGAGAGGGACGGCGGAAUUUCCCGGUGUAGCGGUGAAAUGCGUAGAUAUCGGGAGGAACACCAGUGGGCGAAGGCGGCCGUCUGGACCGUAACUGACGCUGAGGGCACGAAAGCGUGGGGGAGCAAACAGGAUUUAGAUACCCUGGUAGUCCACGCUGUAAAACGAUGGAUGCUAGGUGUGGGGGAGAAAGAACACUUUCCCGUGCCGUAGUUAACACAAAUAAAGCAUCCCGCCUGGGGGAGUACGGCCCGCAAAGGUUGAAAACUCAAAAGGGAAUUGACGGGGGGCCCCGCACCAAGCGGGUGGGAGCAAUGUGGUUUUAAUUCGAAAGCAAACGCGAAAGAACUCUUUACCCAGGGGCUUGACCAUGCCCGGGGAACCCUUUCCGAAAAGGGAGGGGGGUGCCCUGACCCGAUGAGGGUUAGGGAACCCCGGACCACCAGGUGGUGCCAUGGGUUGUUCGUCAAGCUUCGUGUUCGUGAGAAUGUUGGGUUAAUUCCCGCAACGAGCGCCACCCCCUGCCCCUUAGUUGCCCAGCGGCGACCGCCACUUAGAGACUGCCGCCGAUAGGCGAGGAGGUGAGAUGACGUCAAUCUCAUGUCCUUAUGCCCUGGCUACACACGUGCUACAUGGUGCUACAAGGGCAGCAGGCGGAGCUGAGGAUCUCAAAGAGCCUUUUCAUUCGGAUUGCGGCUGCAAUUGCCUGCAUAAUUGGAAUCGCUAGUAAUCGGAUCAGCAGCCGCGGUAAUACGUUCUGGCAUGUACACCCGCCCGUCCACUCAUAGAGUUCAGCACCCCUGAAACCCGGGGCAUCUGUGUGAAGGUGAGGCUGAUGAUUGGGGU